rnacentral:rRNA from 1 species
AUAUCAGUCAUGCAUAGCAUAUCAAUAAGCGGAGGAAAAGAAACUAACAAGGAUUCCCCUAGUAACUGCGAGUGAAGCGGGAAGAGCUCAAAUUUGAAAUCUUAAAAGGUUUUCCUUUUACGAAUUGUAGUUUAAAGAAGUGUUUUCUGUUAAAAUUUUAGUAAAAGUUCUUUGGAAUAGGACAUCAUAGAGGGUGAGAAUCCCGUAUUUGACUAGAAUUUUUCAACUUUGUGAUACACUUUCAAAGAGUCGGACUGUUUGGGAAUGCAGUCCAAAAUGGGUGGUAAAUUUCAUCUAAAGCUAAAUAUUGGCGAGAGACCGAUAGCGAACAAGUACCGUGAGGGAAAGAUGAAAAGAACUUUGAAAAGAGAGUUAAAUAGUACGUGAAAUUGUCAAUAGGGAAGCGUUUGGCACCAGUGUUGUUUUUCUAAAAAUCAAUUUAAAAUUUGCUUAUGCUAAGUUUUUUAGACUUAAUCGGCUAAUAGUUUAGUUUUUUGUAAUUUUUGAAUGCACUUUUUAGUUAACAAGUCAACAUCAAUUUCUUUUGUUGUAAAAGAAUAAGAGGAAGGUGGCUUGGGAAUUCUUUUCAAGUGUUUAUAGCCUUUUAUUUCUGCAAUAGGAGGGAUUGAGGUCUGCAGCAUAGAUCCUUCGGGGGCUAGAUGCAUUUGUCGCUAAGAGUCAGUAUUAUAUAAACAACUCGUUGAUUAUAUAAUAUGUUGAUUUUUACUCGGGAGUGUUAUUUUACCUACGCUUAGGAUGUUGACGCAUGAGAUAUACGC